rnacentral:rRNA from 1 species
AGAGUUUGAUCCUGGCUCAGGAUGAACGCUGGCGGCGUGCCUAACACAUGCAAGUUGAGCGAUUUACUUCGGUAAAGAGCGGCGGACGGGUGAGUAACGCGUGGGUAACCUACCCUGUACACACGGAUAACAUACCGAAAGGUAUGCUAAUACGGGAUAAUAUAUUUGAGAGGCAUCUCUUGAAUAUCAAAGGUGAGCUAGUACAGGAUGGACCCGCGUCUGAUUAGCUAGUUGGUAAGGUAACGGCUUACCAAGGCGACGAUCAGUAGCCGACCUGAGAGGGUGAUCGGCCACAUUGGAACUGAGACACGGUCCAAACUCCUACGGGAGGCAGCAGUGGGGAAUAUUGCACAAUGGGCGAAAGCCUGAUGCAGCAACGCCGCGUGAGUGAUGAAGGCCUUCGGGUCGUAAAACUCUGUCCUCAAGGAAGAUAAUGACGGUACUUGAGGAGGAAGCCCCGGCUAACUACGUGCCAGCAGCCGCGGUAAUACGUAGGGGGCUAGCGUUAUCCGGAUUUACUGGGCGUAAAGGGUGCGUAGGCGGUCUUUCAAGUCAGGAGUGAAAGGCUACGGCUCAACCGUAGUAAGCUCUUGAAACUGGGAGACUUGAGUGCAGGAGAGGAGAGUGGAAUUCUAGUGUAGCGGUGAAAUGCGUAGAUAUUAGGAGGAACACCAGUUGCGAAGGCGGCUCUCUGGACUGUAACUGACGCUGAGGCACGAAAGCGUGGGAGCAAACAGGAUUAGAUACCCUGGUAGUCCACGCUGUAAACGAUGAGUACUAGGUGUCGGGGGUUACCCCCCUCGGUGCCGCAGCUAACGCAUUAAGUACUCCGCCUGGGAAGUACGCUCGCAAGAGUGAAACUCAAAGGAAU